UACGAAGGGGGCUAGCGUUGCUCGGAUUGACUGGGCGUAAAGGGCGCGUAGGCGGUUCGUACAGUCAGACGUGAAAUUCCUGGGCUCAACCUGGGGGCUGCGUUUGAUACGUGCGGACUUGAGUGCGGAAGAGGGUCGUGGAAUUCCCAGUGUAGAGGUGAAAUUCGUAGAUAUUGGGAAGAACACCGGUGGCGAAGGCGGCUCUCUGGACCGAGACUGACGCUGAGGCGCGAAGGCGUGGGGAGCGAACGGG
rnacentral:rRNA from 1 species